AUCCAGGUGAUGACUCCCAAACAGGACGAAACGCGCGUCCUGGAU
rnacentral:hammerhead_ribozyme from 1 species